UAGGGAAUCUUCGGCAAUGGGGGCAACCCUGACCGAGCAACGCCGCGUGAGUGAAGAAGGUUUUCGGAUCGUAAAGCUCUGUUGUAAGAGAAGAACGUGUGUGAGAGUGGAAAGUUCACACAGUGACGGUAACUUACCAGAAAGGGACGGCUAACUACGUGCCAGCAGCCGCGGUAAUACGUAGGUCCCGAGCGUUGUCCGGAUUUAUUGGGCGUAAAGCGAGCGCAGGCGGUUUAAUAAGUCUGAAGUUAAAGGCAGUGGCUUAACCAUUGUUCGCUUUGGAAACUGUUAAACUUGAGUGCAGAAGGGGAGAGUGGAAUUCCAUGUGGAGCGGUGAAAUGCGUAGGUAUAUGGAGGAACACCGGUGGCGAAAGCGGCUCUCUGGUCUGUAACUGACGCUGAGGCUCGAAAGCGUGGGGAGCAAACAGG
rnacentral:rRNA from 1 species